UCAGUAGCCGCGGUAAUACGUAGGUGGCAAGCGUUGUCCGGAAUUAUUGGGCGUAAAGCGCGCGCAGGCGGGAAUGUNNNNNUGUCUUAAAAGUUCGGGGCUCAACCCCGUGAUGGGAUGGAAACUACAUUUCUUGAGUGCAGGAGAGGACAGUGGAAUUCCCAGUGUAGCGGUGAAAUGCGUAGAUAUUGGGAGGAACACCAGUGGCGAAGGCGACUGUCUGGACUGUGUCUGACGCUGAGGCGCGAAAGCCAGGGGAGUGAACGGGAUUAGAUACCCCGGUAAUCCUGGCCGUAAACGAUGGGUACUAGGUGUUGGGGGUAUCGACCCCUCCAGUGCCGGAGUUAACGCAAUAAGUACCCCGCCUGGGGAGUACGGCCGCAAGGCUGAAACUCAAAGGAAUUGACGGGGGCCCGCACAAGCGGUGGAGUAUGUGGUUUAAUUCGACGCAACGCGAAGAACCUUACCAGGACUUGACAUCGAUUGAAAUACCUAGAGAUAGGUACCUUCCCUUCGGGGAACAAGAAGACAGGUGGUGCAUGGCUGUCGUCAGCUCGUGUCGUGAGAUGUUGGGUUAAGUCCCGCAACGAGCGCAACCCUUAUCCUAUGUUGCCAGCGAGUAAAGUCGGGAACUCAUGGGAGACUGCCGCAGACAAUGCGGAGGAAGGCGGGGAUGACGUCAAGUCAUCAUGCCCCUUAUGUCCUGNGCUACACACGUACUACAA
rnacentral:rRNA from 1 species